ACGAACCGUGCAAACGUUGUUCGGAAUCACUGGGCUUAAAGGGCGCGUAGGCGGGCAAGACAGUCGAAGGUGAAAGCCCACGGCUCAACCGUGGAAGUGCCUCCGAUACUUCUUGUCUCGAGGGAGAUAGGGGCGUGCGGAACUUCCGGUGGAGCGGUGAAAUGCGUAGAUAUCGGAAGGAACACCGGUGGCGAAAGCGGCGCGCUGGAUCUCUUCUGACGCUGAGGCGCGAAAGCCAGGGGAGCAAACGGGA
rnacentral:rRNA from 1 species